rnacentral:tRNA from 1 species
CAAAUUAGAGCUUGUUAAAGUAUUUCAUUUACAUUGAAAAGAUAUUAUUAAUUUAAUUAAUUUGA